UCUUGUUUGUAUUUAUCCAUUCUGUACCCUUUCCAGUGCUCUUCAUUUCUUUGAGUACAUUUAAUGACUUCUGGGAUCAAUUAUUUUCAGCCUGAAGGAUGGCAUUAAAUAUUUUUUGUAAGCCAGCCCUCUCCGGCAGCAAAGAUGCCAGUUCUCGAGGUUUGCUCCACCUUGAUGGAAGUGCUAUGAAGACCAUGCUGGAGUUCAGGACGGGAGCAGCCCCAGGCAAUAACUACUGACCUGAACCUGAACCAAAUGUCGCAAAAGGCUGAGCUCCUCUGCUGCACAUCUGAAAUAUUUAUCCAAAGAAGCUUUUCAGUCCUCAAGAAAUGGGUAGACUUAACAAAAAGGCGAGUCAUAGAAGCACCCCAGUUUCCUAGUUUUAAAAUGGAAGGUAGCCUUUGGAAUUCCUUUCUGAGAACAGUUAGCAGAGACUUCAAGCAACACUUUCCAGGAAGAGGCUUGAGGCCGCCAUGUCCACGGACCAGGACUCCACAAGCCACCACUGGCUCCCCAGCCCUGCAGCAAUACUCCAACCCAGGAGUCACCAAUGUUUCUGAUCACAUCCCUCUCAAAAAACUCAACACUUAUCAGCACCUACUGCCAAUAUUUUAAUAAAAAUGUACAUAUGAUUUAGUUUUAAUUGAUAUGUAUGAUUUACUUUUAAUCAAUAUGCUAACUGCUAAUAAAGGUUAAUUUCUUUUUCUUUGUAAAAAUAAAUAGAAAUGAAAGUUCUAUC